rnacentral:rRNA from 1 species
GGAAGGUGCAAGCGUUAAUCGGAAUUACUGGGGCGUAAAGCGCGCGUAGGCGGCUAGAUAAGUCGGGUGUGAAAGCCCUGGGGCUCAACCUGGGGAACUGCAUUCGAUACUGUCUAGCUAGAGUGUGGUAGAGGGAGGCGGAAUUCCGCAUGUAGCGGUGAAAUGCGUAGAGAUGCGGAGGAACACCAAUGGCGAAGGCAGCCUUCUGGACCAACACUGACGCUGAGGCGCGAAAGCGUGGGGAGCAAACAGGAUUAGAUACCCUGGUAGUCCACGCCGUAAACGAUGUCAACUAGCCGUUGGGAGCAUUUUGGCUCUUGGUGGCGCAGCUAACGCGAUAAGUUGACCGCCUGGGGAGUACGGUCGCAAGAUUA